AAUACGGAGGGGGCAAGCGUUAUUCGGAAUCAUUGGGCGUAAAGGGCGCGUAGGCGGCUUGGCAAGUCAAAGGUGAAAUCCCUCGGCCCAACCGAGGAACUGCCUUUGAAACUGCUUCGCUUGAGGCCGGGAGAGGGUAGCGGAAUUCCCAGUGUAGCGGUGAAAUGCGUAGAUAUUGGGAGGAACACCAGUGGCGAAGGCGGCUACCUGGACCGGUUCUGACGCUGAGGCGCGAAAGCGUGGGGAGCAAACAGGA
rnacentral:rRNA from 1 species